AUUGAACGCUGGCGGCGUGCCUAACACAUGCAAGUCGAGCGGUAACAGGUGUAGCAAUACAUGCUGACGAGCGGCGAACGGGUGAGUAAUGCUUCGGAAUCUACCUUAUGGUGGGGAAUAACUAGCCGAAAGGUUAGCUAAUACCGCAUACGUCCUACGGGAGAAAGCAGGGGAUCGCAAGACCUUGCGCCAAAAGAUGAGCCGAAGUCGGAUUAGCUAGUUGGUAGGGUAACGGCCGACCAAGGCGACGAUCCGUAGCUGGUCUGAGAGGACGACCAGCCACACUGGGACUGAGACACGGCCCAGACUCCUACGGGAGGCAGCAGUGGGGAAUAUUGGACAAUGGGGUAAACCCUGAUCCAGCGACGCCGCGUGUGUGAAGAAGGCCUGCGGGUUGUAAAGCACUUUUAGUGGGGAUGAAAUGUGCAGGGUUAAUACCUCUGCAUUUUGACCUAACCCACAGAAAAAGCACCGGCUAACUCUGUGCCAGCCGCCGCGGUAA
rnacentral:rRNA from 1 species